rnacentral:rRNA from 1 species
AGAGUUUGAUCCUGGCUCAGAACGAACACUGGCGGCGUGGAUUAGGCAUGCAAGUCGAACGAGAAAGUUUCCUUCGGGAGACGAGUACAGUGGCGAACGGGUGAGUAACGCGUGGGAAAUCUGCCCUUUAAUGGGGGACAACAGUUCUAACGAACUGCUAAUACCGCAUAAGCCCUCUAGGUCGCAUGGCCCGGAGGGGAAAGAUGGCCUCUACAUGUAAGCUGUCGUUGAAGGAUGAUCCCGCGUCCCAUUAGCUUGUUGGUGGGGUAAAAGCCUACCAAGGCGACGAUGGGUAGCCGGCCUGAGAGGGUGUCCGGCCACACUGGGACUGAGAUACGGCCCAGACUCCUACGGGAGGCAGCAGUCGAGAAGCUUCCGCAAUGGGGGAAACCCUGACGGAGCGACGCCGCGUGAGUGAAGAAGGUCCUAUGGGUUGUAAAGCUCUGUCAGAUUGGGAAGAAAACUCUACGGGUAAUCUCCGUAGAGCUUGACGGUACCAUCAGAGGAAGCACCGGCUAACUCCGUGCCAGCAGCCGCGGUAAUACGGAGGGUGCAAGCGUUGUUCGGAUUCACUGGGUAUAAAGGGUGCGCAGGCGGCCCAAUAAGUCAGAGGUGAAAUAUGACGGCUCAACCGUCAAACGGCCCCUGAAACUGUUGGGCUUGAGUUCGAGAGAGGUAGGUGGAAUUCCAGGUGUAGCGGUGAAAUGCGUAAAUAUCUGGAGGAACACCGGUGGCGAAGGCGGCCUACUGGCUCGAUACUGACGCUCAGGCACGAAAGCAUGGGGAGCGAACGGGAUUAGAUACCCCGGUAGUCCAUGCCGUAAACGAUGGGUACUAGGUGUUGGGGGAGUCUACCCCCUCAGUGCCGCAGCUAACGCAUUAAGUACCCCACCUGGGGAGUACGAUCGCAAGGUUGAAACUCAAAGGAAUUGACGGGGGCCCGCACAAGCGGUGGAGCAUGUGGUUUAAUUCGAUGCAACGCGAAGAACCUUACCUGGGCUUGACAUGCAGGGGACAGGUAUAGAAAUAUACCCUUCUUCGGACUCCUGUACAGGUGCUGCAUGGCUGUCGUCAGCUCGUGUCGUGAAAUGUUGGGUUAAGUCCCGCAACGAGCGCAACCCUUGUCUUUAGUUGCCAUCAGGUAAUGCUGGGGACUCUAGAGAGACUGCCGGUGACAAACCGGAGGAAGGUGGGGACGACGUCAAGUCAUCAUGGCCCUUACGCCCAGGGCUACACACGUGCUACAAUGGCCGGUACAAUGGGCAGCAAUACAGUGAUGUGGAGCGAAUCCCAAAAAGCCGGCCUCAGUUCGGAUCGUAGUCUGCAACUCGACUACGUGAAGUUGGAAUCGCUAGUAAUCGCGUAUCAGAACGACGCGGUGAAUACGUUCCCGGGCCUUGUACACACCGCCCGUCAAGUCAACCGAGUUGGUUGCACCCCAAGUCGCUGAGCUAACCCGUAAGGGAGGCAAGUGCCCAAGGUGUGAUUGGCGAGGGGGACUAAGUCGUAACAAGGUA